rnacentral:rRNA from 1 species
GUCUACAGCCAUACCACCCUGAACGUGCCUGAUCUCAUCUGAUCUCGGAAGCAAAGCAGGAUCGGGCCUGGUUAGUACUUGGAUGGGAGACA